GCACUGUAGAACAUCCUUUGGAUCCUGACUCCUUAAGUGGCCCUCACAGGACCAGAGCUAAUUCAGUUAGUCUCUGCAACUUGGUCUCCGGAUGAGAUGCCCAACAAUGUGUAAAGGGCCCAGAAAACAAUCAAAGAAGCGCUAUCCGAGAACCCUAUGAUGCUCGAAAAUAGCUGCAAGAGAAGUACAGCAACUUCAGCAAUUACCAACAAUACAUGUUUUCUAUAAAGCAAGCUAUGAACCAUCUUGUUUAAUUCUCUUAGAGGUUCAUA
rnacentral:lncRNA from 1 species